AGUGAACGCUGGCGGUAGGCCUAACACAUGCAAGUCGAACGGCAGCACAGGAGAGCUUGCUCUCUGGGUGGCGAGUGGCGGACGGGUGAGGAAUACAUCGGAAUCUGCCCAGUCGUGGGGGAUAACGUAGGGAAACUUACGCUAAUACCGCAUACGACCUUCGGGUGAAAGAGGGGGAUCGCAAGACCUCUCGCGAUUGGAUGAGCCGAUGUCGGAUUAGCUAGUUGGCGGGGUAAUGGCCCACCAAGGCGACGAUCCGUAGCUGGUCUGAGAGGAUGAUCAGCCACACUGGAACUGAGACACGGUCCAGACUCCUACGGGAGGCAGCAGUGGGGAAUAUUGGACAAUGGGCGCAAGCCUGAUCCAGCCAUACCGCGUGGGUGAAGAAGGCCUUCGGGUUGUAAAGCCCUUUUGUUGGGAAAGAAAUCUUUCAGGCUAAUACCCUGGGAGUAUGACGGUACCCAAAGAAUAAGCACCGGCUAACUUCGUG
rnacentral:rRNA from 1 species